AAGUCGUAACAAGGUUUCCGUAGGUGAACCUGCGGAAGGAUCAUUAUCGAUGGCCGCGCCGUGAGCGCCUAGCGGGAUCGGCCGGCCACUGACCACACCCUUACUUUACGAGCACCAUUCGUUCUCCUUCGGCGGGGUGACCCGCCGUUGGAAUCUUUAAACCCUUUUUUUGCAUAUAGCAUUACCUGUUCUGAUAAAUCAAUCGUUACAACUUUCAACAAUGGAUCUCUUGGCUCUG
rnacentral:misc_RNA from 1 species